AACCACGAGCUUUUUAAGACGGAUGAAUAAGAGAGGUUUCCAUGGAUACAGACAAUCAGGAUUUUGUACCUUCUGUGUUUUCAUGCAACAAGCCAAGUCCAAAGAAAAGGAAUUCUAGUCAAAGAAAUCCAAGGGGCUGUGUAAGAGAUGGUGCAGGAAAAGAAAACAUCUCAGCAGCUGGACCUGAGCCUCCUGCGAACCUCCAAGAUGAAGUUUCAAUGGAAACUGAGAGUGAUCCUUUGGGGAAAGCACAAACUCAGUCACCCUCACCAGUGCCAAAGGAAGAAGAAGCAUUUAUUAAAGAAGUUGUGACUGAAACAAAAAGGG